UCGCUUAACCUAGCCCCACUUUUAGCUCGUGGGGCGGCGGCGCACGGUUCACGGCCACUCUCCUCCCUAUUGCCGUCCCCAUGGCUCUCGCGUGUGCAUCUCACGCGCGCCGCCUCCUUCUCUCAGGCGCUGCAGCUCCGGCGAGAUCCUUCCACGCCCAGCCCUACGAAGCCAAGGUCGGCGUGGUGGAGUUCUUGAACGGCGUGGGGAAGGGGGUAGAGACCCACGCCGCGAAGCUGGAGGAGGCAGUAGGCGGCGACCUCCAGAGGCUCCUCGAGGCCCGCACGCUGCGGCUCAAGAAGCUUGGCAUCCCCUGCAAGCAUGUUGUAGUCAAAUGCUGGUAAGGAGAGUUCCUGCUGUGUUUUCUGAUCAAGAUGCCGAGUACUUUUCUCGAUAUGGCUCGGUUGGCUAAAAUGUGAGAGAAAGUUGAUUCUGAGCUUUGCUCACAAGUAUCGCCUUGGUCUGUGGAAGCCCCGAGCAGAACCCAGGAAAGUGGAAUGAAGUUGGUUUAUUCUUGAAAUGCUCACUUCAAAUCUGCUGCCGGACUCAAGCAUUGUUGAUUCGUUGAAUAGUUGCUAUGUAAUUUGGAAAUCACAAAGCUUAGUGUUCUCUGGCCAUGCUUAUUUUCUUAGUGUUCUCUAGCCAUGCUUAUUUGGAUCCAUUGCACAAAAUAUAAAAAGUUUAACUAGCAGUGGCGUGCUUUUGUUCCUUUUGCAACUGCAAAGUGCAAACCUUACCAAUAACAUGUCCACAGUCGUGAUGGUUUAUCAUUUCA